CAGGGAGACAACAAAAUGUUUAAUAUUAUUAUUUUGUCACCUUAGGUCGAUCAGUAUCUCACGUUUUUAAUUUAUUAAGAAUUUCAUUUCCUAAGUUUUUCUAGGUCACACCCAUUAUUUUUCCUGGGCCAUUAGCUCAGGUGGUUAGAGCGCACCCCUGAUAAGGGUGAGGUCCCUGGUUCAAGUCCAGGAUGGCCCAUAUCUCUAUGUUGGGGGUAUAGCUCAGUUGGUAGAGCGCCUGCUUUGCAAGCAGGAUGUCAGCGGUUCGAGUCCGCUUACCUCCACUGAUUACCACCUCUGUCAUUAUUUGUAAUAAGGAAAUUUUUUGAGUUGUGAUCAAAUUCUGAACGAAUCUAGCUUCCUAAUGAAAUCAUUAAGAUGCUGGACUCAUUGAAUUAAUUUCAUUGUUUUCAGAGAACCUUGACAACUGCAUAGAUUAUUUUUAAAGACAAUAAGCAUCUUUAAUGAUGCAGAUUUAUUAUUUGUGCGAAUGCAUUAAUAACAAUUCUAUUAAGCUGAUGCUUCAAUUUUGAAGUUAUU
rnacentral:tRNA from 1 species